rnacentral:tRNA from 1 species
GACAAUGCUUGGUGGUGGGCGGACCCAGACUCCAAGCAACUGGACUGCGGGGUGCUAGACUGGGGCGGGUUCAAGUCGCGCCCG